AUCACGUAUCAUACGCGGAGGAGCCUAUCCUGAGCGGAUGAUCCUCCCUCUGCUGUUAGGAGCCAGCCUUGCUGAAUUAUUCACCCGUGUCUUUUGCGUACUUCUUGUUUCCUUGGUGGGCUCGCCCACCACAAGGACAAACCAUAAACCUUUUGUAAUUGCAAUCAGCGUCAGUAACAACAUAAUAAUUACAACUUUCAACAACGGAUCUCUUGGUUCUGGCAUCGAUGAAGAACGCAGCGAAAUGCGAUAAGUAGUGUGAAUUGCAGAAUUCAGUGAAUCAUCGAAUCUUUGAACGCACAUUGCGCCCUUUGGUAUUCCAAAGGGCAUGCCUGUUCGAGCGUCAUUUGUACCCUCAAGCUUUGCUUGGUGGUGGGCGUGCUCGCUCCAGUUUGCUGGAGACUCGCCUUAAAGUCAUUGGGGGCGCGGCCUACUGGGUUCGGAGCGCAACACAAAUCGCGCUCUCUUUCCACCCAAGGGACGGUCUCCCAAAACCUUUUUCUCCAUUUUAGGCCUCAGACCGGGUAGGGAAUACCGGGUGAAUUUCCCCUUACAUACCCGAGAGAAGAUUAUCAAUAAGCGGAAGAACCUU
rnacentral:rRNA from 1 species